GGGCCGGUGGCUCAGUUUGGUAGAGCACCUGAAAUAUGGUGAAACUUUUAUCAAACAAGAGAGAAAUCAGGUGGUCGCGGGUUCAAAUCCCGUCCGGCUCA
rnacentral:tRNA from 1 species